GAUGGACGCUGGCGGCGUGCCUAAUACAUGCAAGUCGAGCGAAUGGAUUAAGAGCUUGCUCUUAUGAAGUUAGCGGCGGACGGGUGAGUAACACGUGGGUAACCUGCCCAUAAGACUGGGAUAACUCCGGGAAACCGGGGCUAAUACCGGAUAACAUUUUGAACCGCAUGGUUCGAAAUUGAAAGGCGGCUUCGGCUGUCACUUAUGGAUGUACCCGCGUCGCAUUAGCUAGUUGGUGAGGUAACGGCUCACCAAGGCAACGAUGCGUAGCCGACCUGAGAGGGUGAUCGGGCACACUGGGACUGAGACACGGCCCAGACUCCUACGGGAGGCAGCAGUAGGGAAUCUUCCGCAAUGGACGAAAGUCUGACGGAGCAACGCCGCGUGAGUGAUGAAGGCUUUCGGGUCGUAAAACUCUGUUGUUAGGGAAGAACAAGUGCUAGUUGAAUAAGCUGGCACCUUGACGGUACCUAACCAGAAAGCCACGGCUAACUACGUGCCAGCCGCCGCAGUAA
rnacentral:rRNA from 1 species